rnacentral:rRNA from 1 species
ACAGCAGCCGCCACGGUAAUACGAAGGGGGCUAGCGUUGCUCGGAAUCACUGGGCGUAAAGGGUGCGUAGGCGGGUCUUUAAGUCAGGGGUGAAAUCCUGGAGCUCAACUCCAGAACUGCCUUUGAUACUGAAGAUCUUGAGUUCGGGAGAGGUGAGUGGAACUGCGAGUGUAGAGGUGAAAUUCGUAGAUAUUCGCAAGAACACCAGUGGCGAAGGCGGCUCACUGGCCCGAUACUGACGCUGAGGCACGAAAGCGUGGGGAGCAAACAGGAUUAGAUACCCCUGUAGUCCCUGUCUCUUAUAC